rnacentral:rRNA from 1 species
UGGGGAAUUUUGGACAAUGGGGGAAACCCUGAUCCAGCCAUCCCGCGUGUGCGAUGAAGGCCUUCGGGUUGUAAAGCACUUUUGGCAGGAAAGAAACGUCAUGGGUUAAUACCCCGUGAAACUGACGGUACCUGCAGAAUAAGCACCGGCUAACUACGUGCCAGCAGCCGCGGUAAUACGUAGGGUGCAAGCGUUAAUCGGAAUUACUGGGCGUAAAGCGUGCGCAGGCGGUUCGGAAAGAAAGAUGUGAAAUCCCAGAGCUCAACUUUGGAACUGCAUUUUUAACUACCGGGCUAGAGUGUGUCAGAGGGAGGUGGAAGUCCGCGUGUAGCAGUGAAAUGCGUAGAUAUGCGGAGGAACACCGAUGGCGAAGGCAGCCUCCUGGGAUAACACUGUCGCUCAUGCACGAAAGCGUGGGGAGCAAACAGG